GCAACAGAAGUCUCAAUUGAUUCUGCACAUACAAUUCUGGAAUCAUUUAGUAUGCCUUGGCUGAACACGGACAAAAGUAGCUUUUCAGUAGGCAAUUGCUAUUUCAUUUCCCAGGAGAAGAUCACACAGCCAGCAAGUAGAUGAAAAAGGAGAGAGAAGAUUUGGAGGGUUUUAUAGAUCAAUCCUUGAAAUACUUAUAUUCCAUUGGUCAGAACUCAGUCAUAUGGCCACAUAUAGUAGUAAAAAAAGCUGGAGGAUGGAAUCUGGUUCUAUGCCCAAUAAGAAGAUGACACAUGUAAUGAAAAAUGUUCCGGAAUACAAUGAGGAAAUUGAAGAGAGAGGCGAGGAUGAUUAGUCAAUCGAAGCUUUGUGAAGGCCAAGGAGAACAAUAUAUUACAAAAGACAAGAAGACAGCAUAACAAGUCAAUCACCAUUACCCCAGAAGAGUUGAUAUAAUAAAAGUUGAAUUAUCUUCACCUGCCU